AGAAAUUUGAGUUUGAUCCUGGCUCUGAGUGAACGCUUGUAGCGCGCCGACACAUGCAAGUCGAACGGGAACUACAAAGUUAGUUUUAGUGGCAUAAAGGUGAGUAAUAUUUGAGAACAGAACACUUCAGAAAACAAAAUGUCGUUUCGACUACUUUUAGUCAAACAGAAUUUUAAAUAAUAUAACUAAAUUCCGUCAGAAUUGCGGAAGAAGAGAACAAAGGAUUUUAUCGCUGAAGGAAUAGAAAAGCUGGCUCAAAGAAUAUAAAAGUAGUUGGUAAGGUAAUGGCUUACCGAGCUUCACGUUUAGUGGGUCUGGGAGGACGAUCCACCACACUGGGACUGAGACACAGCCCAGCUUCUUUAAAUUAGGGGCUGCAGUGCGGAAACUUGGGCAAUGAGCGAAAGCUUGACCCAGCGACGCUGCUUGAAAUUAAAAAAUCGAAUGAUUUAAGAAAUUCUUUUAACGGGGAGGAUAGUGACAAUAACCGUAGAAUGAGUCCUGACUAACCUCGUGCCAGCAGUCGCGGUAAUACGGGGAGGGCGAGCGUUAUUCAUCAUUAUUGGGCGUAAAGGUACGCAGACUGUUUAUGGAUUGUUUAUUCUGAAAGACCUGGGGCCAACCCAGGUGUGAGAAUAUAAACGCAUAAACUAGAGUCGACGAGAGGAUAGUAGAACUUUUAAAGUAGAAGUGAAAAGUGAUGAUAUUAAAAAGACUCCCAAUGGCGAAGGCAACUAUCCAUUUUCGAACUGACGUUGAGGUACGAAGGCAUAGGUAUCAAAUGGGAUUAGAGACCCCAGUAGUCUAUGCAGACAACGAUGAAUGUUGGGUUGUAGCUUUGGUAUUAGUAUUAGGCUGUUAAAAAGCAAUAUAUUGAAGCUGUAUCCGCGUUAACGCGUGAACAUUCCGCCUGGGUAGUAUCAUCGCAAGGUUGAAACUCAAAGGAAUUGACGGAGAUUUAAACAAGCGGUGGAGCAUGUGGUUUAAUUCGACAUAACACGCAAAACCUUACCAGUCCUGGCGGCAAUCUUUCUUAGACUGAGAAGUCUUUAAAAAACUAUAUAAUUUAUUAAACUUUAAAUACUUUAGAAAUCUGUACAAAUUGUAUAUUUGUACAGAAACAACAUAAAAAGUAAAAAAGAUAAAGAAAGUAUAUAUUUGCAAGUGUAUUCUUAUAUUGAUGAAAUGAAGCUUUAGGUUGUGUAGGUGCUGCAUGGCCGUCGUUAGUCCGUACUUUGCGGUCUCAGGUUGGUUCCG
rnacentral:ncRNA from 1 species